rnacentral:lncRNA from 1 species
CUGCCGGUGGGGCGAAAGACCACCCCAACCUAUCAUGGUAAAUCUGGAUUUGCUCCAAUGGGGGCUAAUCAAAACCCUACAACUAAAAUGCUAAUGGAAGUGGCCAAAUUGAUGGGGUAGCGGGGCGCGAUACAGGUAGAACGUGGGUGGGUAUUUUCACUACAAACAAACUAGCUUCCAGAGGCAUGAACUUAAGCUAUGAACCUCCAAUGAUUGAAGAAGGGGAAAUUUGUUGUGCAUCUGUCAAGAAAGGAUAUAGAAACUAAACAUCACAACUGGAAUGGGGCCUUGUCGUGAGGAAUACACCCACUAUCAGAGUUGUAGAGAGAUUCAUAGCAUCCCAUUGGAAUUUCAUUGCUAAACCAAGGAUACUAUACCACACUGAUGGUUACUUUGUCAUUCGAAUGAAUAGUCAAGAGGAAAGAGAUGAAGAGCUAUACACAGGUCCUUGUACAUUGAAUAAUAGACCCAUUAUACUAACGGCUUGGACAACUGGGUCAAUUUUAAUGAGGAAGUUUUGAAGACCAUACCCUUGUGGGUAAAAUUGCCUAAUCUUGCCCUCAAUUGCUGGAGCAAAGACAAUCUAAACAGGAUUGGAAAUGGUUUGGGGAGGCCAUUGUAUGCAGAUAAUUGCACAACAAAUGCAGAAAGGAUUUCCUAUGUGCAUAUUUUGGUAGAAAUGGAUGUGACUAGACUAUUACCGGUUUCUAUUGUAUUAUGUGUUCCAGAGGGGGGAAUUGUUGAUCAAGCAGUGAUAUAUGAUUGGAAACCAAGCUAAUGUCCCAAGUGUUGUCAGAUUGGUCAUCAAUGCCCUACAAUACAAAGGCAAAAAAGGGCAGAACAACCACAACCAUAUCUUGAACCAACACAAAAAAAGAGCGGAAAGCUCAGUGAGUACGUGACCCAAAAAUUAAUGAAACUAUUGAUAGCCAAGGUAUAUGGAAAGUAAGUUUAUGCCCUGAUGAGGUGACGCUAAACCAGUUGAAUGACAAACCUCAACAAGUAAAUGCUGAUGAGUGGAUACAAUCUAGAAGGAAGUAUGGUACCAAAACCGUAAUAAGAAGCCAUGAUUUAUUUCAAAUUCGUGAUACAGAUCCGCUCAACACUUUGACUUUGGGACAAAAAAGGGAGCAAGAUACUAGUUCAACAAGUGAGCAGAUGGAUAAGGGGAGUAUGUUGAUGGAUAGUGGGCAAAUCACACCCCUCCUCGUUUUAUGAAUAUAGUCACUUGGAAUGUUAGGGGGA